CCUACGGGUGGUAGCAGUGGGGAAUAUUGCGCAAUGGAGGAAACUCUGACCCAGCAACGCCGCGUGAAUGAUGAAGGUCUUCGGAUUGUAAAGUUCUUUUCUAAGGGAAGAAGAAAGUGACGGUACCUUAGGAAUUAGCCUCGGCUAACUACGUGCCAGCAGCCGCCGUACUACGUAGGCGGCGAGCGUUAUCCGGAAUGACUGGGCGUGAUGGGUGCGUUGGUGGUUUGGCAAGUUAGUAGAGUAACGCCAGGGCUCAACCUUGGAACUACUACUGAAACUGUUGAGCUUGAGUGCAGGAGGGGGAAGCGGAAUUCCUAGUGUAGCGGUGGAAUGCGUAGAUAUUAGGAGGAACACCAGUGGCGAAGGCGGGUUGCUGGACUGUAACUGACGCUGAGGCACGAAAGCGUGGGGAGCAAACAGGAUUAGAUACCCCAGUAGUC
rnacentral:rRNA from 1 species